rnacentral:rRNA from 1 species
UACAGAGGUCUCGAGCGUUGUUCGGAUUCAUUGGGCGUAAAGGGCGCGUAGGCGGCGGGGUAAGUCUGGUGUGAAAUCUCGGAGCUCAACUCCGAAAUUGCACUGGAUACUGCUCUGCUAGAGGGCUGGAGAGGAGAUCGGAAUUCACGGUGUAGCAGUGAAAUGCGUAGAUAUCGUGAGGUAGACCAGUGGCGAAGGCAGCUUGCUGGGACGGUACUGACGCUGAGACGCGAAAGCGUGGGGAGCAAACAGG